GCUGGGUGUGGUGGCGCAUGCCUGUAAUCCCAGUGGCUCAGGAGGCUGAGGCAGGAGGCUCCUGUGUUCAAAGCCAACCUUAGCAAAAGCGAGGCACUAAGCAACUCAUUGAGAUCCUGUCUCUA
rnacentral:sRNA from 1 species